GUGCUCACUUUGUCGGCACAUACACUAAAAUUAGAACAUACAGUGAAGAUUAGCAUGACCUCUGCACAAGGAUGGUAUGCAAAUUCACAAAGCAUUUCAUAUUUUG
ensembl:snRNA U6 U6 spliceosomal RNA